UGGGGAGUAUUGCACAAUGGGCGAAAGCCUGAUGCAGCAACGCCGCGUGAGCGAUGAAGGCCUUUGGGUCGUAAAGCUCUGUCCUUGGGGAAGAAAAAAAUGACGGUACCCUUGGAGGAAGCCCCGGCUAACUACGUGCCAGCAGCCGCGGUAAUACGUAGGGGGCAAGCGUUAUCCGGAAUUAUUGGGCGUAAAGAGUGCGUAGGUGGUUUUGUAAGCGCGGGGUGAAAGGCAAUAGCUCAACUAUUGUAAGCCCUGUGAACUGUGAGACUUGAGUGCAGGAGAGGAAAGCGGAAUUCCUAGUGUAGCGGUGAAAUGCGUAGAUAUUAGGAGGAACACCAGUGGCGAAGGCGGCUUUCUGGACUGUAACUGACACUGAGGCACGAAAGCGUGGGGAGCAAACAG
rnacentral:rRNA from 1 species